rnacentral:rRNA from 1 species
UACGAAGGGGGCUAGCGUUGCUCGGAAUCACUGGGCGUAAAGCGCACGUAGGCGGCUUCUUAAGUCAGGGGUGAAAUCCUGGAGCUCAACUCCAGAACUGCCUUUGAUACUGAGGAGCUCGAGUCCGGGAGAGGUGAGUGGAACUCCGAGUGUAGAGGUGAAAUUCGUAGAUAUUCGGAAGAACACCAGUGGCGAAGGCGGCUCACUGGCCCGGUACUGACGCUGAGGUGGCGAAAGCGUGGGGAGCAAACAGG